rnacentral:rRNA from 1 species
UGGGGAAUUUUCCGCAAUGGGCGUGAGCCUGACGGAGCAAUACCGCGUGAGGGAAGACGGCUUUUGGGUUGUAAACCUCUUUUCUCUGGGAAGAAGAUCUGACGGUACCAGAGGAAUCAGCAUCGGCUAACUCCGUGCCAGCAGCCGCGGUAAUACGGAGGAUGCAAGCGUUAUCCGGAAUUAUUGGGCGUAAAGGGUCCGCAGGUGGUUUAUCAAGUCUGUUGUCAAAGCGUGGAGCUUAACUCCAUAUCGGCAAUGGAAACUGAGUAACUAGAGUACAGUAGGGGUUGCGGGAAUUCCCAGUGUAGCAGUGAAAUGCGUAGAUAUUGGGAAGAACACCAGCGGCGAAAGCGCGCAACUGGGCUGAGACUGACACUGAGGGACGAAAGCUAGGGGAGCGAAAGGGAUUAGAUACCCCUGUAGUCCUAGCUGUAAACGAUGGAUACUAGGUGUUGGACGUAUCGACCCGUGCGGUACCGUAACUAACGCGUUAAGUAUCCCGCCUGGGGAGUACGCUCGCAAGAGUG